rnacentral:rRNA from 1 species
CGUGAGGGAAAGGCGAAAAGAACCCCGGCGAGGGGAGUGAAAAAGAACCUGAAACCGUGUACGUACAAGCAGUGGGAGCCUCUUAAUGGGGUGACUGCGUACCUUUUGUAUAAUGGGUCAGCGACUUAUAUUCUGUAGCAAGGUUAACCGAAUAGGGGAGCCGAAGGGAAACCGAGUCUUAACUGGGCGUUAAGUUGCAGGGUAUAGACCCGAAACCCGGUGAUCUAGCCAUGGGCAGGUUGAAGGUUGGGUAACACUAACUGGAGGACCGAACCGACUAAUGUUGAAAAAUUAGCGGAUGACUUGUGGCUGGGGGUGAAAGGCCAAUCAAACCGGGAGAUAGCUGGUUCUCCCCGAAAGCUAUUUAGGUAGCGCCUCGUGAAUUCAUCUCCGGGGGUAGAGCACUGUUUCGGCAAGGGGGUCAUCCCGACUUACCAACCCGAUGCAAACUGCGAAUACCGGAGAAUGUUAUCACGGGAG